UACGUAGGGGGCAAGCGUUGUCCGGAUUUAUUGGGCGUAAAGAGCGUGUAGGCGGCCAUGUAGGUCCGUUGUGAAAACUCGAGGCUCAACCUCGAGACGCCGAUGGAAACCAUGUGGCUAGAGUCCGGAAGAGGAGAGUGGAAUUCCUGGUGUAGCGGUGAAAUGCGCAGAUAUCGGGAAGAACACCCGUGGCGAAGGCGGCUCUCUGGGACGGUACUGACGCUGAGGAGCGAAAGCGUGGGGAGCGAACAGG
rnacentral:rRNA from 1 species